rnacentral:rRNA from 1 species
CCUACGGGAGGCAGCAGUCGAGAAUCAUUCACAAUGGGGGAAACCCUGAUGGUGCGACGCCGCGUGGGGGAAUGAAGGUCUUCGGAUUGUAAACCCCUGUCAUGUGGGAGCAAAUUAAAAAGAUAGUACCACAAGAGGAAGAGACGGCUAACUCUGUGCCAGCAGCCGCGGUAAUACAGAGGUCUCAAGCGUUGUUCGGAAUCACUGGGCGUAAAGCGUGCGUAGGCUGUUUCGUAAGUCGUGUGUGAAAGGCGCGGGCUCAACCCGCGGACGGCAGAUGAUACUGCGAGACUAGAGUAAGGGAGGGGGAACCGGAAUUCUCGGUGUAGCAGUGAAAUGCGUAGAUAUCGAGAGGAACACUCGUGGCGAAGGCGGGUUCCUGGACAUUAACUGACGCUGAGGCACGAAGGCCAGGGGAGCGAAAGGGAUUAGAUACCCCUGUAGUC